rnacentral:lncRNA from 1 species
AUCAGCUCCGUUAAACUUGAUCUAGAAUAUUUGGAGUACCUAGAAAAUAAAUUUUAUUAUUUUUCGAUAUCAUUUGCUUAGUGAUCGAAUGGGCUCAAAAUCAACAAAUUUCUAUGGCCGUAGUGAGCCGUUUGCAAGUUUAACGGUGUAGAAAUAUCCAAAUCACGUGAAAUUUUGAUAGAAAAUUCUUUAUACUAUAUAAAACAAGAUCAAUAUCUUUGAUUUAAAAUUUUAAUGUCAUAUUAUUACAUUUUGUAAGAUUUUUAUUUUCAGCCGUUGAUUUUGAGCCCCUUCGUUCACUAGGCAAAUGAUAUCAUAAAAUCAUAAAAUUUAUUUUCUAGGUACUUCAAAUACUCUAGAUCAAGUUUAACGGAGCCGAUCGACGAUUCGAAAGUCGCAACAUCAAAAACGAGCUGGAAGCACGGAAGGCUCCGUGCUUCCGAUAGCAUAGUAGCCUUACUCUAUAUAUAUAUAUAUAUAUAGUAGAGCUAGAAUACUUGUAAAAAUAUCACCCAAGUGAUACUUGUGUGUUUUUAGCCCUUGGAUGGAGAGAUGUAAGGUUGAGAUUAUGAUGGUAGGUGGUGGUAGGUGGUGGUAGGUGGAAUAGUGUUUGAUCCAAGGACUAUUAGUAAUCAAAAAGUAGAUCCAAUGGCUAAAAACACACAAGUAUCACUUGGGUGAUACUUGUAAAAGUAUUCUAGCCCUACUCUCUCUCUCUCUCUCUCUCUCUCUCUCUCUCUCUAUAUAUAUAUAUAUAUAUAUAUAUAUAUAUAUAUAUAUAGUGGGCUGGUAUGCUUAUGAAAGCACGGAGGCCUCCAUGCUUCCAAGUUGUUUUCGCUGUUCGGACUUUCGAAUCGACGAUCGGCUCCGUUAGAGUUGAUCUAGAGUAUUUGAAGUACCUAGAAAAUAAAUUUUGUGAUUUUUCGAUAUCAUUUGCCUAGUAAUCAAAGUGGCUCAAAAUCAAUAAUUUUAAUGACCGUAGUGAGCCGGUUGCAAGUUUAACGGUGUAGAAAUAUCCAAAUCACGUGAAAUUUUGAUAGAAAAUUCUUUAUACUAUAUAAAAUAAGAUCAAUAUCUUUGAUCUAAAUUUUUCAUGUCAUAUCAUCACAUUUUGUGAGAUUUUUAUUUUUAGCCGUUGAUUUUGAGCCCCUUCGAUCACUAGGCAAAUGAUAUCGAAAAAUCGCAAAUUUUAUUUUCUAGGUACUUCAAAUACUCUAGAUCAAGUCUAACGGAGCCGAUCGUCAAUUCGAAAGUCCUAACAUCGAAAACAACUUGGAAGCACGGAGGCCUCCGUGCUUCCAUGAGCAUACUAGCCGCACUCUAUAUAUAUAUAUAUAUAUAUAUAUAUAUAUAUAUAUAUAUAUAUAUAGAGAGAGAGAGAGAGAGAGAGAGAGAGAGAGAGAAUUAUACUACUAUACUAUCAAUAGUACCAAGCCCUUGGAACUAUUGAGUUUUUGAUAGUUGGAUGAAAGGAUGUGCGGUUAGGAUGAUAGUGGUCCCCUCUAGGGUUGAAUGGGUGGUUGGUUUAAUAGUAUAAUCUAAUGGGUGGAAAUGAUCAAAAAGUAGAUCUAAUGGUAAAAAACUCAAUAGUACCAAGGCUUGGUACUAUCGAUAGUAUAGUAGCGAACCUAGGAGAUUACUAUCAUCCUAACCGCACAUCUUUUUAAUCCAAGAGUCGAAAAUCUAAUAACACCAAGCACUUGAUACUAUUAGUAGUAUAGUAGCCUAAUUCUAUAUUUAUGGUACAUCUGUGAUUUCAAAAGCAUGGAGGCUUCCAUACUUAUAAGUUAUUUUCGAUAAUAGGACAUCUGAUUCGAUGAUCGACUCCAUUAGGCAUGAUUUACACUAUUAGAAUUCUUUAGAAAUCAAAUUUCAUAAUUUUUUAGCAUCAUUUACCAAAUGAUCAAAAGGUCUCAAAAAGAACUAUUUUAAUGACCGAUGUGGCAUAUUUGUAAGUUCAACAAUAUAAAACAAUCCAAAUUACGUGAAACUUGAAUAAAAAAAUUUUACUUAACAUCAUGAGCAAGAUCAACGCUUCCAAUUUGGAAUUUGAGCCUUUUAUCACUAUUUUUUAUGAAAUUUUUAUUUUGACCAUUCAUUUUGAGGCUAUCCGUUUACUAGGCAAACGAAGUCAAAAAAUUAUGAAUUUGGUUUCUAGAUAAUUCCAAACUUUAUAAGUCAUGUUCAACUAAACUGAUUGCCGCUUUGAAUGUCCAUUAUUGAAAACAAUUUACAAAUAAGGAGGCCUCCAUACUUUUGACAGCACAAGAGCCUAGCUUUAUAUAUACUAGUGAAAAGACCCGCGCUUCACAGCAGGUAGAAACUAUAGGAGCUACCAAUAAAAAAUAAAAAGUAUUCAUCAAUAGAAAUAAAGAAGGUGUCGUGAAUGGGGCGAUUGGCGCGUCGGAAUGCUAACCCUCACCUCUAACCUCUAUUAAUGGUAGAGUCCUAUACUGCUGCAAUCGCAAAAGGCUGCGUCGCCGCCACUGCCACCGACAUUGCCAGGAACCUUAUUCUCAUUCUAGACUACGGAUUUCAGUACACCACCCAUUAUAUCCACCAACUCUUCUCCUCUCUCUUUCCCUGCAUCUUCGGAAACUCUCCCAUUUCCUUCAUCUCCAACAAAAAAAAAAAAAAUCACAAAAGAGAGAAAGAAGCGAUUAAACGAAGCAGACCUCGACGCAGUCAUUUACGACGGUGAUGUGGAGUGUAAAGAGGAGGUCGUGGAUAGUGGUGUGGCGAAGGAGAUCAGGAUCGACGUAGAGGGAGGAGCAGACGGCAUUGGCGCCCUUGACUCGGAUCGCGCUGAAGAAAGCAUUAGAUCAAUCAAUCACCACUCCACCUUUUGGUGAAUCUACAUUGAAAAAAGCAAGAUAAUAAAGAAAACGGCAAGGAAGAAAGUAGAAGAAAAACCACAACAUAUGGAGAAGAGAAACGGUCACAUAGAAAAGAGAAACGAUCGUGUGAGGAAGAACAUGAAUGUCCAACCACUAUGGGGAAGAAAAACGGUCGCAUAGGAAAGAGAAAUGGUCAUAUGGGGAAGAGAAACUGUCACAUGGGGAAGAGAAACGGUUAAAGGAAGAUAAAAGGCCGGGGAGAGCAAACUUGAAGAUGGAGCCCACUCCCAACCUUGAAGGUGGGUUUGCCUCGUGGAUUCUUUUUGGGGAUUAUAUAGAGUUAUAGAUAGUCCGGUGACUAUACUCUUAUGAAUAUGAUCAUCUUCAUACUCAUAAGUCAUUUUUCAAUAUUAGAAUUUCCGAAUCGACGAUCCAUACCGUAAAAAAUGAUGUAGAGAAUUUGAAACUUCUAAACAUAAAAUUUCAUAAUUUCGACAUCACUAACCUUACGAUAUAAAAAAUCUUAAAAUUGAUAACUUUUAACGGCCGGUACAGAAUGCUUGUUAGUUUAACAUUGUAAAAAAUCAAAAUUGGUUGAAAUUUUGAUAAAAAAUUCUAUUCACUAUUUAGAUAAAGAUCAAUAACUAUGAUCUUAGUUGAAGAAUCUGGUCAUCCAUUUAUAGGAUGUCGUUCAGUUUUGACCAUUCAUUUUAUGCCCACUUGAUGGAUUUCACUAUAAUUUCAAAAAAAUUACGAAAUUUAUUUUCUACAAGUUUCAAAUGCUCUAAAUCAUAUUUAAUGGUGUGGAUUGUCGAUUCUCUAUCAUUGAAAUAACUUAUGAGUACAAAGAGCUCUAUAUUCAUAGGAGUAUAAAGGCCCUACUUUAUAUAUAUAUAUAUAUAUAUAGAAUUAGGCUGGAAUACUAUUAAUAGUAAAACGCUCUUUUUGCUAUCAAGUUUUUAACCCUUGGAUGAAAAAUUGUAGGGUCAGGAUGAUAUUAGUCGGUUAGAGUUGAGUGGUCCCCAUAGGGUUGAGUGGUCCCCACUGGGUUAUAGUAUUUAAUCCAAUGGUUAGAGAUAAUGAAAAGAGUUGAUCCAAAGGCUAAAAAACUGGUAGCAACAAUGGGAUUUUGCUACUAAUAGUAGCCCAGUCCAACUCUCUCUCUAUAUAUAUAUAUAAUAGAGAGAGAGAGAAAGAGAGAGAGUCCGGCUACUAUACUCUUAUGAGUACGAUCGGCUUUGUACUCAUAAGUCGUUUUUGAUGAUAAGCUUUUAAAUCGAUGAUUUAUACCAUGAAACAUUAUCUAAAGAAUUUAAAGCUUCUAGAAAUCAAAUUUUAUAAUUUUUGACAUCAUUUACUAUACGAUCAAAAGAUCUCCAAAUUGACAAUUUUUAACGGUCGUUAUGGGAUUCUUGCUAGUUUAACAGUAUGGAAGGAGAGAAGGUGAUGCUAGAGACAGGGACGGAGAUAGCGCUUGAGCGAGGUGCGAAGUUGAACCUCCCGAGAAGGGUAAUAGGGCAGGAGUCGGCAGUGAAAUUCGCGACUUUUAUGUAAGCCAUAGAGGAGGAGGAGGAGGAGGAGAGGGACGUGGGUGCAAGGUUGUCUUCAUUGUGUUAAUGAAUGGUAACUUAGAAUGCAGAGAGAUAAGCUUAUGUACAUUUAUGAGAUAAUUGCCUAUAUAUCUCUCAAAACUUCAAAAAUAUCUUAUUUAUGGAUAUUUUUUUUUCUUUCCAAUAUACCCCUCAUAUGUUCCCCCGUUAUUCUAAAAUACCCCUGCAGUUACAACCCAUAAGUUAAUUUGGGUUAAACGUAAGUUUAAAUAUUUACUAGAAUUUAAAAAAAUCAAAAUACCUAUUUUACCCUUAAUUUAAGGGCAAAUAAGAAAUGUUAGUGAUGGUAGAAGGGUAUAUUUGAAAAGACCAAGAAUCAAAAUACUUUUUCUAUCUCUAACUUAAGGGUAAAUAAGAAAAGUCGGUGAUGAUGGAAGGGUAUAUAUAUGAAAGGGCAAAAUAGUAAUUUCAUAUAAAUAACAGUUGUUGCUAACAAUUCAUUAACAUAAUUUAACUCUAGGGGUAUCUUUGAAAUAGGUUGGAACGUGAAAAGGGUAUUUUCAAUAUUAGCCUUCUACGAUGGGUAAAUCAAAAAGUCGAAAACUUUUGAGGGGUAAAUAAGCAAUCGCCGCUAUAUUUAUAUAUACAGAGAGAGAUACAAUUCAUAAAGUAUAAAUUUUGCACUUAUCUAUCAUCAUAACAAAUCACUUUAUCCAAGAGCCGAAAACCUAAUAGAACCAAGCGCUUGGCCUUACAUGAUGACCUUUCCAAGAGAAGAUAUAUANNNNNNNNNNNNNNNNNNNNNNNNNNNNNNNNNNNNNNNNNNNNNNNNNNNNNNNNNNNNNNNNNNNNNNNNNNNNNNNNNNNNNNNNNNNNNNNNNNNNNNNNNNNNNNNNNNNNNNNNNNNNNNNNNNNNNNNNNNNNNNNNNNNNNNNNNNNNNNNNNNNNNNNNNNNNNNNNNNNNNNNNNNNNNNNNNNNNNNNNNNNNNNNNNNNNNNNNNNNNNNNNNNNNNNNNNNNNNNNNNNNNNNNNNNNNNNNNNNNNNNNNNNNNNNNNNNNNNNNNNNNNNNNNNNNNNNNNNNNNNNNNNNNNNNNNNNNNNNNNNNNNNNNNNNNNNNNNNNNNNNNNNNNNNNNNNNNNNNNNNNNNNNNNNNNNNNNNNNNNNNNNNNNNNNNNNNNNNNNNNNNNNNNNNNNNNNNNNNNNNNNNNNNNNNNNNNNNNNNNNNNNNNNNNNNNNNNNNNNNNNNNNNNNNNNNNNNNNNNNNNNNNNNNNNNNNNNNNNNNNNNNNNNNNNNNNNNNNNNNNNNNNNNNNNNNNNNNNNNNNNNNNNNNNNNNNNNNNNNNNNNNNNNNNNNNNNNNNNNNNNNNNNNNNNNNNNNNNNNNNNNNNNNNNNUCAUAUUUAUAAUAUUUUGCACUUAUCUAUUCAUAUAACAAAUCACUUUAUCCAAGAGCCGAAAACCUAAUAGAACAAGCGCUUGGCUUACAUGAUGACUUUCAAGAGAAGAUAUAUAUAAUAUAUAUAUAUAUAUAUAUAUAUAUAUAUAUAUAUAUAUAUAUAUAUAUAUAUAAUAUAUAUAUAUAUAUAUAUAUUAUUCUUUAUUUUCUUUUCUUUCGCCCUCUGUAUUUGUUUUCGCUAUCGUGCCCCAUCUCUCGCCCUCUGCUGCAGGAUUCCACCCUCGCCCGACACGCUCUCACUCCUCAUCCCUCCUUAAAUCUUGCCGUACCCUUGUCGUCGUUGCUGUCCAUGGCCACACUGUUACGCCUGCAAGUAUAAUUAGGAGGUUAGGAGUAGAUUAAUGGAGGUUAGGAGAGUAGUAAGCAAUAAAGCAGGAAGAUGAAGGCUUAGCUUUAUCUCUGAUCAUGCGGGGUUGAGAAGCUUCGACCUAUAAAAGUUGGCGCGGAGCGCUUAGAAGUGGCAAGCGCGGAAAGGGAAAAAGAGAGCGAUUAGGGCGAGGAAGAAGAAGGGCGAACUGGCAGGAUUUCGAGGGCGAAUGUGCGAACCGACAAGGCACCCUAUUAGUUCGGGUGUUUGGGGCGGUUGGGCAAAUGUCGGCCCAGUAUGCUACCAAGUGAAGAUCCAGAUCUACACAGCCCAAACCACAAGCUGUGGGCCACUGAUGAAGGAUUGGAAGCCCGUUUAGGAAUUAGGGUUUAUUUUAUUCAAAUUCGUAUUAUAUAUAGGAGGCAGUGUGUAACUCCUAGGGUUUUUUAAUGGAUGAUUAAUGAAAAUUCUCCGUCUUCUUAACUUCUCUCUUAUUCUCUCUUAUUCUCUCUAUUCCCCCUGAUCCUUUUCCUCAAUCUAUCUUUUCUCUUCUUUUCCUUCUUCUUCUUAUUCAAUUAUUAUCUACACAUUAUUCCGAUCUGUAUCGCGAAGACAGCAAACCGAAACCAUCAUCCUCGACGCCGUCCAUCGUCUCAGCGAGAUCUCAUCAUCGACGGGUUGCGCCGAGUCAGGUACGUAACAAUUGGUAUCAGAGCGGUCCGAUCCCAGGGCAUUGAGUGGUAGAAUCGCUUCCUAACUCCAAUCUCGGCAUUGUUGAGUUUAAUCGCGAGUAAGAUUUCUGCGCUGCCGAGUCUAAACCGAGAUCAGAGUCGGACAAAAGAAAUCACCACAAAAUAACCCUGAAAUUAACCGCAUGAUCAGAGGACAUUCCCUCAAUCAUCAGAUCGACAUUAUCACACAAGCACAAUAAACUAUCCGAGGAUAUAUCAGUCGAGGAAAGUCACAAGAAAUUUAUCCAUCCAGUCUGAAGGACCAUCUUAAUUGAGGCUUACCGACACGCCAAAAUUGGGGGAAGGCGAGGCAACAAAUUUAAAUUUAAUCCCAAAGAGUAUCUGGAAGAAUUAGAUAUGGCGGAAGGGACUCGACUAAGAGAUAUUAGUGAUCAUAUCCAUUCUUUAGAAGAAAAAUUUCAGAAGUUAGAGGCCGAACAUCAAUCCAGAUUAGGGAUACUUACCGAGCAGAUGGCGGAGGUACGAGAUUCGGGGCAAAAACAGUACGAUGCAAUGCGGGCUGAAGCUACCAAGCGUCAUGAGGAGCUGCUGAAACUGUUGACAGCCCAGCCACCUAUCACUCAGACUCAAGGCAGAGCAAUUACUCCUGAGAACAAAAUUCCUUAUGGCGGCAAACCAGGGAGUAGCAGCACCCCACAUGUUAUCAGGGAAGAAAAGGGAAAAGGGAUAUUACCCACCCCUAGAAAGCAACUCGACGUAGAGGAUGAUCAGAUUUCACCGUGGACUAACAGGAGUUUUAAUAAUCACCAACAUUUUCCAUAUCCUCGAUUGGAUUUUCCCUCAUUUGACGGCGACGACCCUAGAAAUUGGAUCGAGAAUUGUGAGCAAUUCUUUGAGUUGUAUCAAAUACCCCAACAGCAAUGGUUGAGCAUAGCCACUAUGCAUUUAUUCGGCAGGGCGAAAACGUGGAAACAAGGAUACUUCAUUAACAAACAAGUGGUUUCUUGGGAUGAAUUCACUGAGGCAGUGUGCAAAAGAUUCGCCCACGUAGGGGAGCGGUAUUUAAUUCGAGAAUUUCGCAAUUUGAAACACACCGGAACAUGCGAAAAAUAUCAAGAGAAGUUUGAGGAGUUAAGAUUUCAAUUACUCUAUUACAACCCCCACUUGUCGGAAGAGUACUUUAUCGCGUGUUACAUUAAUGGGCUCAAGGAAGAAUUUUCCAUUUCUCGACAUCGCUCAUCCAAACACAUUAGAGGAGACAUAUGAACAAGCACAGCUACACGAAAAGGCUCUAGCAGUGAUUAACAGAAAGAAUCGAUUUAUUUCUAAGACACCGAUGGAGACCAAUCAACGAGACACAUCAGAUAAGGGCACUGAAGGAACCGGGCAACAGUACCAGAACCAGAACAGAACUACAACUGGUCAAUAUACUGCUAACAAACAGUUAAUGGAACAUCGUCGAGCUGCUAGAUUAUGCUUUCGAUGUGGAGAAAAGUACCAUCCUGGGCACGUUUGUGCAAACAAGUCAUUGUAUACAUUACAAGCUACUGAGGAUAUUAUGGAAGUUUAUGAUGAAAGUUGUUUACAAGCAGGAUCAAACGACGUGACAGUCACGGGAAAGGAAGGAGAGGAGCCAGAAGUUGUACCUGAAGAAAAGAAUCCGCAAGAAAUAGGAGUGUCGGUUCAUGCAGUAAGUGGAGGGAAACCCCAGGACACCAUCAAAAUACAAAGUGAGACAAACAAUCGACUUCUCACCAUUUUGAUAGAUAUGGGAAGCACGCACUGUUUCAUCGACCUGCAAGUAGCCAGAGAGAUUGGCGCACGAAUAGAAGUCGCUUCUCCCUGGGUAGUGACAGUAGCGAAUGGCCAUAAGGUUUUGAGUAAACUAACAUGCCCUGGUUUCACUUGGAUCAUGCAAGGACAUACAUUCCAAGCAGAUUUGAUGGUGAUCAGAUUGGAAGGCUCAAGUAUUAUAUUAGGAAUUGAUUGAUUAAAAUCUUAUGGACCAGUAACCUUUGAUUUCCUAGCGAAUUCAGUUGCUAUCACCAAAGAAGGUCAGAGUUUAGAACUGAAAGGGAUCGAGGAAAGAGCUAAAUUAAGGUUGAUAUCUGCAGCCCAAUGGAGACAGGACAUAGAGAAGGGUGAAUGCUAUCUCCUCAGACAUCAACCUUUAACAGAAGAAGAUAAACAAGAAGUAGAGGUACACCCAGAGAUUCAAGAGGUGCUGGAUAAAUUUCAGAAUGUGUUCGAAGGGCCCAAAGAGUUGCCCACACCCCGAAUUUUGGAAUCGAAAACAGUGAAGCGUGAGAACAGGGCUGUGACUGAGGUGCUGGUUAAGUGGACAAACCCUCCAAUGGAGAGCGCAACGUGGGAAGAUUACUGGCUUCUUAAGAGUCAGUUUCCAUCUUUUGAUCCUUGAGGACAAGGAUCGCAUUAAGAAGGGGGGAUUGUUACGCCUGCCAAGUAUAAUUAGGAGGAUUAGGAGCAGAUUAAUGGAGGUUAGGAGAGUAGUAAGCAAUAAAGCAGGAAGAUGAAGGCUUAGCUUUAUCUCUACAUCAUGCCGGGGGUUGAGAAGCUUCGACCUUCAAAAGUGGCGCUGGGAGUCGGCUCAGAAGUGAAGGGCGGAAAGGGAAAAAGAGAGCGAUUAGGGCGAGGAAGAAGAAGGGCGAACUGGCAGGAUUUCGAGGGCGAAUGUGCGAACCGACAAGGCACCCUAUUAGUUCGGGUGUUUGGGGCGGUUGGGCAAAUGUCGGCCCAGUAUGCUACCAAGUGAAGAUCCAGAUCUACACAGCCCAAACCACAAGCUGUGGGCCACUGAUGAAGGAUUGGAAGCCCGUUUAGGAAUUAGGGUUUAUUUUAUUCAAAUUCGUAUUAUAUAUAGGAGGCAGUGUGUAACUCCUAGGGUUUUUUAAUGGAUGAUUAAUGAAAAUUCUCCGUCUUCUUAACUUCUCUCUUAUUCUCUCUUAUUCUCUCUAUUCCCCCUGAUCCUUUUCCUCAAUCUAUCUUUUCUCUUCUUUUCCUUCUUCUUCUUAUUCAAUUAUUAUCUACACAUUAUUCCGAUCUGUAUCGCGAAGACAGCAAACCGAAACCAUCAUCCUCGACGCCGUCCAUCGUCUCAGCGAGAUCUCAUCAUCGACGGGUUGCGCCGAGUCAGGUACGUAACACACACCUUGCAUUGUAGCCUCACCUUUGUGAUCUGUACUAUAUCCGAGCUAGCAUUGUCGAUCGCUACUAGGGUCAGCGCAGGUAUGGGCAAGGUAGGAGAGGAGAGUGGCGUCGAUGUGGAGGGAAUGGAUGAGGAGGAGAGAGAGAGAAAGCGGAAGGAGAGAGAGAAGAAGGGAUCACGAGAACAAAGGAGCUAGAGGAGGAUGAAGGAGAAAAACGAACUAUAAAGAAAGCAGAGAGAGAGGAAUAAGAAAAUUUUGAUCAAUUUAAUAAAAAUCUAGGCCUACUUUGCACAAUCUAAAAAGUGGCCAAUAUUUCUAAUUUUUUAUGUAAAUUAGUCCAAAAAGUUUUAGAGCAUUUUAGAAAAUAGAUUAAUUUAACCCGUUAUUUUGUACUAGAAGAUUGCCAAAUGGCUGCAGUCCUUUUAAAAAAUGGUGAGCACCAUGGAUCACGUCUAGGCGCUGGUUGGGCCAGGACCAACCUGACUUCUGUUUAAGGAAAGUUUUUUUUUUAAAAAAAAAUACGUCAACUUUUCUAACUUUGACGAGAUUAGUUUACUCAUCCAAUUCUUUAUUUUUUUUAAAGUAAACUUAUAAUUUAUCCAAUGUGGUUUAACUUAUUUCCUUGCAUGUAUAGUUUAAAAAAUUGCAACUUAACUAUUUUGUGAUUAUGGUUAUAUUUAAUCUAAAAAAAUUAUUAUCAAACAGGAUUCCAAAGUAAGAUUUUUGAUAAUCACAUGAUAGUUAAAUGUAACCUUUUAAACUAUAGUACGAUAAAGUGAAAAAUAAAAAUGAGUUAAACUAAAUGAGAGCAAUUUGAAGGUUACCCGAAAAAAUUAUAUAAAUUUUAGAUUUUUUUUAAUUAACUACCCAGUCUCGAUGUUUGUUACUUGUGUAAUAAAUUGCAGUUCGCACAGCCGUUUAAUCCUUAAAAGUUAAUAGUUAAACUUUUGCGUAUAUGAAUUAAGAAUAUUUGAUCUUUAUAAAAUUACCAAUUCUUAAAUAAAAAAAAUAUUAGAAUUUGGAUUCAAGUAUUUAAUUGAAAUGAACUAAAAAUUCUUAUAAUUAUUGUCAAUUUCUAAAAUUUGAAUGAGAAAUGAUUGUAGGACCUCAUUUUUUGAGUAUCCUAUUGUGUUGUUAAAAACUUGAUAUAUAUAUAUAUAUAUAUAUAGAGUUGAGCUAGAAUACUCUCGAGAGUAAACGAGCCCGUUUACUCUCGAGUUGUUUUCGAUGAUAGAGCUUCCAAAUUGACGAUCGGCUCCGUUAAAUAUGAUCUAAACCAUUUAAACUACCUAGAAAUCAAAUUUCACACACUUUCGAUAUUGUUUUAUAUCCAUCUAGGUGAAGAAAAAAUGAAUGGCUGAAAUAAAAUAUUCUUUUAAAAAAUGAUGAUAGGAGUCUUGUAAUCAAGAUCAAGAGUAUAGAUCUUGUUUUAAAUAGUCUAAAGAAUUUUCUAACAAAAAUUCAAUUGAUUUAGAUAUCUUUACACCGUUAAACGAGAAAACGUCUCUUAUCCACUAUUAAAAUUACAAAUUUUGAAACCCUUUGAUCAUUAGGCAAAUGAUGUCGAAAAGAUUUGAAAUUUAAUUUCUAAACACUUCAAGUGUAUAAAUCAUGUUCAACGGAGCGAUCGUUAAUUUGGAAGCUCUAUCAUCGAAACAACUCGAGAGUAAACGGCUCGUUUACUCUCGAGAGUAUUCUAGCUCAACUCUAUCUAUAUUAUAUAUAGAUAGAUAGAGUUGAGCUAGAAUACUCUCAAAAGCACCAUGAAGGUGGUGCUUUUAAGUUUUUGCCAUUAGAUGAAGAGAUGUGAGGUUGAGAUGAUGGUGGUAGGUGAAAUAGUGUUGUAUCCAAGGACUAUUAGUAAUCAAGAGUAGAUCAAGGGCUAGAAACUUAGAAGCACCAAAAGAAUAUUCUAAAAGUAUUCUAGCCAAUUAUAUUAUAUAUAUAUAUGCCGGCUACAUACUAUUAUGAGUACGAUCGCCCUCGUACUCACAAGUUGUUUUCGAUGAUAGAGCUUCCGAAUCGACGAUCCACACCGUUAAAAGUUAUUACAAGUUUAAACUUCUAAAAAUCAAAUUUUAUAUUUUUUGACAUCAUUUACCUUACGAUCAAUAGAUCACAAAUUUGACAAUUUUUAACGGCCGGUAUGGGAUACUUACUAGUUUAACGGUGUAAAAGAAUCGGAAUUUGUUGAAUUUUUGAUAGAAAAUUCUAUUCACUACAUAGAUAAAGAUCAAUAACUCAGAUCUUGAAUUGAAGGAUCCGAUCAUUCUUUUUUAGGACGUCGUUCGAUUUUGACCGUUCAUUUUAUGCCCACUUGAUGGACUUUAUUAUGAUUUCGAAAAUUUACGAAAUUUAUUUUCUAGAAGUUUCAAAUACUCUAAAUCAUAUUUAACGAAGUGGAUCGUCGAUUUGGAAGUUCCAUCAUUGAAAACAACUUAUGAGUACGAGGGCUGCAAUACUCAUAAUAGUAUAGUAGCCAUGGCCUUUAUAUAUAUAUAUAUAUAUAUAUAUAUAUAUAUAUAUAUAUAUAUAUAUAUACUAGUGUAAAUACCCGCACAUUGCUGCGGAUAGAUACUAUUAAAAUAAAAAUUUACAAAUAAAAAAAUUAUCAAUAUAGCUAAAUAAAAUAUUAGUAGACCAACAAUAAAUAUCAAGAAUUAUAAACUUUUAGUAGAUAGAUACUACUGAGGUGAGGUGGUGACAUUUGCGACCAAAUAAAGACGGCUAUAUAGUCAAUAUAUAGCAAGCAACCCAAUAGGAAUAUGUAAGAUAAUUAGUUAACAAAUCUUACUCUUGAGUACACAAAAAUAUAAUAAUAUAUAUACAAUCAUUCACAAAUCACAAUAGAUUAUCUAUCUAUCUACUGGAGAAUUUUCUUUGUCAACGCGUGAGUAGAUAUUGAGGUAAUCAAACCACAGAUUCCACUGUACUUUGACUUUUUUAACCUUCGUAAAUAAGAUUUUUCACUUAGAUGUCCGGUUUUAGUGUGCAACCUCAAUUUGGAAAUAACUUUCGAGAUUUACGCAUUGAACAACAAAGCAGUUCCGCCUAAGUUUGGGACCCAAAUUCAAUUUUUUAGGUCUUUUUUUUCUAUGCCUUCUUCAUGAAGUUGUUAAAACUCAUAUCUGAGUCCAAUCGAUGCACUAUAAAGUUCAGUAUAAUCAGCGGCAACAGCAUCAACAGUAUUGUUAAAUUUAACAUAUUUUUAUUGAAAUUAGUUAUUCUGAAUAUUUGUAUGGUUGAUGGAACGAUGCAUUCUAUCAACUGUGAAUUGUUGGUAGCUAAUUAACUAUUGAUUUCAGUGAAUCUUCAAAUCAAUUUAGAAAUUUAUAGGUGUCAAUGAGAAAAUAAAGAUUGGGUGCCAAUUACAAAAUGGCCAGUAAUUGAAGGCAACAGCAUUAGCAAAAAAGUAGUGGCAUCAGCAGCAUUAGCAUUUGCAACAUCACCAUCAGCAGCAGAAUCAACAGCAGCAGCUUAGGGAGAAGAAACAGCAGUAGUUACAUAACAAUGAUUAGCAGCAGAAAAAUGCCGAGAAGAAUUAAAAGAAAAAGGAAGAGAGCCAGAGCAAGUAACAGUAGUAGUAGCAGUAGCGGCAUUACCGUCAUUAGGAACACGAUCGAUAGUAGCAGCAGAAAAAGACAAAGAAAGCGUGAGAUGUAGACUACUUAAUAUUGACUUUAAUUGGUUAAUUUAGAAGAUUAUUACCACAAACAAACUACACUCCCAAUUAAAGAGAAUCAUUGAUAUUUACAAUCCCAUUAAAAGAAAAUCAUUGAUAUUCAUUGAUAGGUCCUAAAGUACAUCUAUUGAUCAACCAUGAUAAUAAUAAUAAAUACAAACUUAUAAAAUAUUUAAGUAUAGAAGAAGGCCUUGACUAACAAAUAUAACAAAUGAGUCCCCUUGGAAUUAGGGCAAAAUCUAACAGCAACACUUUCAUGUUGAAGUGUAUUUAAGGUUUUUUUUUACCUUAAUUUUUGCAAUAUAGUUCUGAAUGGCACAUAUAAACCUUGGAUAGCUUCAAAAUUUGUCUUUGAUGCAGUCGGACCAAAAUUAAUACCUAAAAAGCAUCGGCAAAAAAUUGAUAAAUUGGUUUCUUUUCUUUGUUUCAGGAUGGGCAAAAUGUGGGAAAUGAUGUACUUACUGAAAAACACAAUAAUUUAAGGCAUAUUAGUGAAAUUUAAUUACCAAUUAGUCUAGAAAUAAGAAAUAGUUACAUGAAGCCUUACAGGUUAAGCAUAAAGGUAAAAAGGAACAAAAAAUAGAAUGAUUGCAACACGGAAAAGCCAUACGAUUCCUGAGGAGAAGACAAAAACACUGUUAUAAGAAAAAGAAAUUCAAUAUAUUAGGCAAGAUUUCAUAGAUGCAUUAUAUAGGCAAAAGCAUAGCAGCGAGGAUGAGGGAUGUAACCGCAAGUAGGGCAUACGAAUCGGCGUGGAGGGUAGAGGAAUUGAUCAAAAACGGUUUGAGCAUCCAUCAUAUGUAACGGAUUAGGGAAGAGGGGAGAGGCCAUACGAAACGGAGAGAGGAGAGGGAACGACGCAGGAAGAGAGGAAAGAAAAUGCUCCAACAGAGAGAGGAGGUGGACUCGGCGGAGAGGAGAGAGAAAAUGGCGAAACGCUCCCUUUCGUGCGAAAAAACAGAGAGGAGAAAGGGGCGGUUCAGUUCAUUGGUUCAGAGAAGAGUCAUGUGGGUUCGGUUCGGUUCAUUUGAUUGAUGAGGGGAAGACAGGCGCUUCAGGUCGGUUUGGUUCGUUGGUAUGGUUUGGUUUAGAAAAACUGAAGAGGAAGAAGGGCGGUUUAAUUUCUUGGUUCAAAGAAGGGUUUUGAGGGGAGACAUGCCGUUCGAUUCGGUUUGAGAGAAAAGGGACGGUUCGGUUUCAGAGAGGGAACGAUGAGGAUGAAUUCGCUUUGAUUUUAUUUAGAGGUUUAGGGAUGUAAUGAGUGGUCCGGUUUAGAGAAUAAGCAAGUAAGAGAAAGAAGGAGCGGUUCGGUUCAGAAAGAUAGCUCGGUUCAAAAGUAGUAGUUCAGUUCAAUAGAGAGGCUGGUAAGGUUGAGUGGUUCAAUAGAGAGAAAAGUGGUUUAUUUUAAAGUGGAGUUAUGAGGAUGAAGGAUAAGAUGCCAUGUGGCAAAAAAUAUUGUGGCUUCAUAUAUGUUUAUAGAUAUAUAUAUAUAUAUGGCAGGGCUGCUGUGCUCUCAGGAGCACGGAGGCCUCCGUGCUCCUGAGCCAUUUUCGAUGAUGGAAUUUUCGAAUCGACGAUCGGCUCUGUUAGACUUGAUCUAGCGCAUUUGAAGUUUCUAGAAAAUAAUUUUUGCGAUUUUUCGAUAUCAUUUACCUAGUGAUCGAAAGGAUUCAAAAUCCAUAAUUUUUAAUGGUUGAUAUCUGCCGUUUUCAAGUUUAACGGUGUAGAAGUAUUCAAAUCAGAUGAAAUUUUGAUACAAAAUUCUUUAUACUAUCUACAACAAGCUCAAUAUUUCUAAUCAAAAAUUUCAGUGCUAUAUCACCACUUUUUAUAGGAUUUUUAUUUUUUAGCCGUUAAAAAUUAUUGAUUUUGAAUCCUUUCGAUUGCUAGGUAAAUGAUAUCGAAAAAUCGCAAAAAUUAUUUUCUAGAAACUUCAAAUACGUUAGAUCAAGUUUAACGGAGCCGAUCGUCGAUUCGGAAACUCCAUCAUCGAAAACGGCUCAGGAGCACGGAGGCCUCCGUGCUCCUGAGAGCACAGCAGCCCUGCUCAUAUAUAUAUAUAUAUAUAUAGAGUUGUGCUUCUAUACUAUCAAUAGUAUAGAAGCACAACUACUAUAGUGUUUUAAACCCUUGAUCCUUUCUCAAGAUUCGUGCACACAGGUGGGUGAAUUAAGUGGGAUGGCAACAUUUAACACCGUUAAAGGAGGAGAGAGAAACCCACUUAAAAACCUUACUCUCCCACUCUCUCUCUCUAUCUCUCUCUCUCUCAGGUUCCCCCCCAACCCAACCCAUCUCUCUCUCUCUUUCUUUCCCAUUUCUCCCAUUUCUCCCACAGGGCCUCAUCUCUGGCUCUUCUGAACUCACCCCGCUCCUUCCCCUCGCACCCAUCUGCCGGCUCACAACCCUAGCCGAGCGACACUGCCACCCGUCGGCGCCGCUCGUGGACGCUCCAACCCUAGCCACGCGACACUAUUCCGCGAAGCCCUCCAAACCCACCUGCGGACAUUGUCUGGACGCCGCUUCAACGUUGCUCCCUGACACCCUCCAAACCCGGGGACACCUCAUGGACCACAACAACAACAAUGACCAGGUUAUUUUAAUCCCUAGUUAGUUAAAAUAUUUUUUUCUUUAUAUUAAAUGGUUGAUAGAAAAUUAUUUAUUUCUUAAGUUAUAGAUUCAUAGUUGUUGAAUUAAUUACAAGUAUUUGUUUUUUUUCUUUAUGAUUUUUAUUGCAAGUAAUAAAUAGAAAAUUUGUUACAUUUUUUUUUGGGGGAUAAAAAUUUAUUAUCUAUACAUUUUCUCUUUAUGAUACUUGUUUAUGGCAGUAAAUAAAAAAAUUUUAAGAAUCAUAUGAGAUGGAUGAUGCUUAAUUUUAUAUUCCCUGUUUAUGAUUUUAAUGUUAUAGAUGGAUGAUGCUUUUCAAUCUGAAAAUAUUAGAAGAAACGGUGAGAAUAUGAAUUUAGAUGGUUUAUCUAUAUGUGGCCAAAGCAAUGCUCCAGAAAAUAUUAGUGAGAAUAUGAAUUCAGAUGAUUUUGAUGCCGAUUUAGAUAACCAUGAUGAACCAAACAGUUUGAUGCACGAUAGGGAUGCAAUGGAAGUUGUAAGUGAUGACCCCUAUAUUGGUAAAGAGUUUAACAGUGCUGAGGCAGCACGGACUUUUUAUAACUCAUAUGCAUUUCGACUCGGAUUUAGCAUAAGAAAGGCUAGUCAAUAUAAGGCAAGGAAACAAGAUGGAAUGAUGACAAGUAUGCUCUUGACUUGUUCAAAAGAGGGUCAAUCUAACGUCCGAGACUAUGACAAGCGUAGUAGUACAACUACACAAGGCCAAGUCACACCAACAAAAGAAUUUGCACACAAACGAUCAGGAUGUAAAGCCCUUAUGAGAGUAAAGAUGAUAAAAGGAGGUAAAUGGGUGGUUACAAGAUUUACAGAAGAGCAUAAUCAUGACUUAAUUGCAAGCCCAACAAAAACACGUUUUUUGCGUUCUCAUCGCUCUAUCUCCAAUGAGCAAAAACAAGUAAUACAACUGUUAAGAGAUCAAAAUAUUUCAACAAGUCAAAUUAUGUCUUACAUAGCAGCAAGAGAUGGGAGCUCACAAAAUAUCAAUUUUACUAUGAAAGAUUUAAGCAAUGAGAUUGUGUCAACAAAUAGGGGACUUGUUGGAGUUGAUGUUGCAAAUGCUCUCAAUUAUCUUCACGCAACUCAUGCCUCGGAUCCUUCAUUUUUUUACUCAAUUGAGGUUGACGAUAAUCAUAUGACAAAAAACAUAUUUUGGAUAGAUGGGAGAUCGAGAUUGGCAUACCAACUUUUUAAUGAUGUUGUGACAUUUGAUACAACUUAUAUGACAAACAAGUAUACAAUGCCAUUUGCUCCAUUUGUUGGUGUUAAUCAUCAUAGACAAUCAAUCUUUCUUGGAUGUGCCCUCUUAAGGGAUGAAACUGCCGAUACUUUUUGUUGGUUGUUUCAUACAUGGUUACAGGCAAUGUCGGGAGUGCAUCCAAAAGCAAUUAUUACAGACCAAGAUCCGGCAAUGAGAAAAGCAAUUGGACAAGUUUUUCCCACUCCUGUGCAUAGAUGUUGUCAAUGGCACGUAAUGAGAAAGGCAAGAGAACAUUUGGGAGUAUUAUAUAACAAAAUGGAAGGUUUCAAGAAUGAGCUAAAAUCAUGUAUUAAUUAUAGCUUGACAAUAGAAGAAUUUGAAACUAGAUGGAAUGAGAUGCUCGAUAAAUAUGACUUGAAUAGUAACAACCACCUUCAAUUAUUAUGGAAUACUCGGCAUCAAUGGGCUCCUGUAUUUUUUAGGGACACUUUUUUCGCCGAUAUGUCUACUUCACAACGGAGUGAGAAUGCAAAUGCUAUGUUGAAAAUGUUGGUGGAUUCGCAUACAUCAAUCUAUAGAUUUGUACAACAAUUUGACAAAAUAAUUCGAAGUCGAUACGAGAAAGAAGAAGAGGAGGAAUUCAAAACAACGGAUGGAGAGUCAUCUUUAUGGUCAUUAAAUCCCAUAGAGAAACAAGCACGCGAGAUCUAUACUAAAGUCAUAUUUUCAGAUUUUAAAAAGCACUUGAGAGAUGCUACAGGUUUUGGAGUUGUUGAAUUGGAGCAAUACAAGUUGUACCAAACAACCCUUUUGGAAAAUAUUUAUACAUUAAAACAAGGAUCAUGCUCAUAUAAAGUUGCAUCGAAGUAGAAACUGAAAAAAUUGUUGCAAUUGAAACAAAUUUGAAUUCACUGGUAUCUUAUGCCCCCACGCACUACGUGUGAUGCAACAUGUACGAAUGAACUUUAUUCCUACAAGUACAUUUUAAAGAGGUGGACCAAAAAUGCAAAAAAAAGGAAUGGAAGAUGGCAAAAUUAAAACUUUUACUAGUCAUUGUGGAUCUUCGAAUGGUACUGCACAUUGUAUGACUCGCUGAAUUUAAAGUCACAGUUUGUUAUGAAGGAUCAAGAAAUUGGAGGCAUAGGAGUUGGCUUGCCAUAAGAUUGAUGCAGCUAUUGAGGAGUUGAAGUCACUUAAUCAACCAAUGGGGGAAUAGGAAAGAAACUACGAAAGAAAAACAAGGUGAUUACCACGACGUUAUUUUAUCACAAGUCUACUCAUUAAGGACAACUAUGGAGGAAUGCAUUGUUAAAGAUCCACCUCAAUCUAAUUGCAAAGGUAAAAGAAAGCCUCAAAGAUAUAAGCCACCAGCUGAGAUGAAAGCCAAAAGUCUAGACUUGUGCAAAUUGCAAAAAAAAAGGACAUAAUAUUAGAACUUGUAAAGAGGUAAGCUAAAUUUUUUAACUCAUUUUUUACAUAUAUUAUUUAGUAGCUAAUUUCAAUAAUUUUGUUUUGAAACUAAUAUAAUUUUUUUAUGGUUCUAUAAUACAGGGGCUUACUGUUGCAGAUUGUCUAGAUGGUGAAUCAGUGAAGUCAUCCAGGACAAUAGUAGAGAUGCAUCAGAGGACUAAAAUUGAGACAAAUGUUCAAUGUGAAAUUAGUUGAUGUACUACAUGUUGUGUGGAAAUUAAAUUGUAAUUUUUCUUCAGUGGAUAUUUUGAUUUCUAAAUUCGGAUUCUAUUAGAGUGUAAUCUUGUCUUCUACUAGAUAUCUUUAUUUCCAAAUCAAUUGUAAUGUAGAAUGUUGAAUGUGGAUGAUUAAAUUACAGUGGUCACUCUUAAUUUGGAUUCCAUGUUAUUGACUCUUUAGAUUCCCCUCAUUCUUUGAAUUCUUUGAACAAUAUUUUAUGCAACUGUAGCACUGGGGCUUUCAUUACUAUGCAUCUAAUAGAGGAUCCGCGGUCGGGGAGAUGUUACACGGAUUUGGGGGAGCAAUAUCUUUACGCAACUAUACGAAUAAAUAAAAACACCAUAUAGAUUAUGUCAUAUAAAUUUAUUUAUAAAAUCAGAUUACAUCCAAAAUAACUCCAUCAGAUUAAAGGUAUUUAAAAUGAUUAAGUAUUACACAAUGCAUAAAACAAACUAGAAGAACUUAAAUAUUACACAGAGAAAAUUACAAUAAUUAUGAUAAUGAACAAUUUCUCUCUGCCUCUGUGACCCUUGUGGAGAGCUCAUCAAUUCGCGCCGUUAGAAUACCAAUUUGUUUAGCUGUUUCAUUCGAAUUUGAUAUAUAUGUUCAAACAGCCAUUCAUCUGAAUAUUUUGCCGGCGAUGCAGAACGUUGAAAAAACAUACUCCUUUCCACUUUUGAAGAGUUAGCGCUAUCUUCUUCAGAUAUAUCUUUGUCUCUCCUUAUAAUUUUAACAUCGCACCAUUGAAAAAAAUCGCAGUAAUUUUCAUUUUCUUUCUUAUAAUUAGGACACCCAUAAAAUGAUCUUCCACUACAAUUUGGUUGAGAGGAAACUCGUAAAACAGCGACUUCAUUGCAGUUGCAGCGAACAAUCCGCUUGUUGAUUGCGCUUCUCAUAUAAAAUGAUAAUAAUUACCUACAUGAAAAAUAAAUUUAGUUAGAAUAAAUUUAUUUUUAAGGAAGCAUACAAAUAUUGAUAAAUUUUUCUUUAAAAAUCAGAACAAAAUUAAAAAUUUUAGCACAAAUCUUGUACUUUUUUUUUACAUAAUUUUUUAAAAUAAAAUUAUAAAAAUAUUAGAAAAAAUAAAAGAAAAUAAUCAUUUUCUAUAAUUGUAAAAAAUUGCAUAUGCUUUUCAUUUUAUUUUUUAAAUAAUUUAAAAAAAUUUAAAAAAAUUCAGCUAAAAAUAGAAAUAAAUAUGUGGGAACACAAUAUUUGACCAAGUUUUGUCGAGGAGUGGUGUCGUUUGGAGGGCUUCGCGGAAUAGUGUCACGCGGCUAGGGUUGGAGCGUCCACGAGCGGCGCCGACGGGUGGCAGUGUCGCUCGGCUAGGGUUGUGAGCCGGCAGAUGGGUGCGAGGGGAAGGAGCGGGGUGAGUUCAGGAGAGCCAGAGAUGAGGCCCUGUGGGAGAAAUGGGAGAAAUGGGAAAGAAAGAGAGAGAGAGAGAUGGGUUGGGUUGGGGGGGAACCUGAGAGAGAGAGAGAGAGAUAGAGAGAGAGAGAGAGAGAGAGAGAGAGAGAGUCAGGUUUUUAAGUGGGUUUCUCUCUCCUCCUUUAACGGUGUUAAAUAUUGCCAUCCCACUUAAUUCACCCACCUGUGUGAACGAAUCUUGAAAAAGGAUCAAGGGUUUAAAACACUAUAGUAGUUGUGCUUCUAUACUAUUGAUAGUAUAGAAGCACAACUCUAUAUAUAUAUAUAUAUAUAUAUAUAUAUAUAUAAAGAAUUGAGCUCCUAUGCUUUUAAAAGUACCAAGUCAUUAGUGCUUGUAAGUUUUCGGCCCUUGGAUUAAAGGAUGUGCGGUUAGGAUGAUGUGGGCCCGCUAGGGUUGAGUGGGUGGUUGGUUUAAUAGUAUAAUCUAACGGGUAAAAAUGAUCAAAGGUAGAGAUCUAACGGUAAAAAAUUUACAAGCACCAAGUGCUUGAUACUUUUAAAAGCACCAUAGCCGGACUAUAUAUAUAUAUAUAUAUAUAUAUAUAUAUAUAUAGAGAGAGAGAGAGAGAGAGAGAGAGAGAGAGAGAGAGUCCGGCUACUAUACUUUUAUGAGUAUUGGCUCUCUUAUACUCAUAAGUUUUUAGCCUUUAGAUUUAUUCCAUUGAUCAUUUCCACCCGUUAGAUCAUACUAUUAAACCAACUACCCACUCAACCCUAUGGGACCACUAUCAUUCUAAGUGGGGACCACCUGUUGGCUUAAAUGGGCCAGCAUCCUGCCCUGUGGCGGGAGGCCAUGUGGGCCGAGUUAUGUUCGAAAUGGCGUGAGGCUGGGUUGGGCCGAGUCAUGUUCGAAGUGGCGUGAGGCCAGGUGGGCCGAGUCACAAUCGAGACACGUGGGCGCUGUUUCUGUACGCUUUAAGUGAAUUGGUUGCGUAUUUCUAACAGCUCGAGCUUUUGGGAUUAAUGGUUAGUGCCAACGAUCCGACAAGUGGUAUCAGAGCCAGAGGUCACGGGUUCGAUUCUUGCAUGCUGCAAAUGUGUGCAGGUACUGGAGGGGAGAUUGUUGGCUUAAAUGGGCCAGCAUCCUGCCCUGUGGCGGGAGGCCAUGUGGGCCGAGUUAUGUUCAAAAUAGCGUGAGGCUGGGUUGGGCCGAGUCAUGUUCGAAGUGGCGUGAGGCCAGGUGGGCCGAGUCACAAUCGAGACACGUGGGCGCUGUUUCUAUACGCUUUAAGUGAAUUGGUUGCGUAUUUCUAACAGCUCGAGCUUUUGGGAUUAAUGGUUAGCGCCAACGAUCCGACACCACCAUCAUCUUAAUCAUACAUCCCAUCAAUCAACGGUUAAAAAUUUAUGAGUAUAAGGAGGUCUAUACUCAUAAGAGUAUAGUAGCCCCAGCCUAUAUAUAUAUAUAUAUAUAUGGGGGAUAAUUGUCUAUAUACCCUUCAAAACUUCGAAAAUAUCUCAUUUACUCCUACUUUUUUUUUUAUUUCCAAUAUACCCCUCAUAUGUUCCUCCGUUAUUCCAAAAUACCAUUGUAGUUACCACUCGUUAAGUUAACUUGGAUUAAACGUGAGUUAAAUAUCUACUACAGUUAAAAAAAAUUAAAAUACCACUUUUGCCCUUAAUUUAAAGGCAAAUAAGAAAUGUUGGUGAUGAUAGAAGAGUAUAUUUAAAAAGACCAAAAAGCAAAAUACUUUUUGUGCCGCUAACUUAAGGGCAAAAACGAAAAGUCGGUGAUGGUAGAAGGAUAUAUAUGAAAGGGCAAAAUAGUAAUUUCAUAGAGAUAACAGAUUUCAUUAACAGAUUUUAACUCUAAGGUAUAUUAGAAAUAGGUAGGAAUGUAAAAAAGACAUUUUCAAUAGUAGCCUUCUAAGAGGGGUAAAUUAGAAAGUCGGAAACUUUUCAGGAGUAUAUAAGCAAUUACCUCUCUCUCUCUCUCCCUCUCUCUCUCUCUCUCUAUAUAUAUAUAGUCCCGCUACUAUACUAUCGAUAGUACCAAGCCCUUGGUACUAUUGAGUUUUCUACCGUUAGAUCUACCGUUUGAUCAUUUUCACUCGUUAGAUUAUACUAUUAAACCAACCACCCACUCAACCCUAGGGAACCACUAUCAUCCUAACCGCACAUCCUUUCAUCCAACGGCCGAAACCUCAAUAGUACCAAGGGCUUGAUACUAUUGAUAGUAUAAUAGCAUAAUUCUAUAUAUAUAUAUAUAUA